GCAAAUAAUGCUAGAAUUAUUACUUGGAUUUUGAGUUCUGUUAAGAAAGAUAUUGCUUUGAAUUCGAUAUCAUUUUGUACUGCUAGUUCAAUAUGGGAUCCCCUUAAAAAAGUAAUUCUCAAACAAACCAGAUAGAUAAUUUGAAAUUGAAUAUGCUAUGCUAAACUUAAUCAAGAUGAUUGGGAUAUAAGAACCUUUUAUGCUUAAUUGUUGGGAUUAU
rnacentral:lncRNA from 1 species